UUGAUAAGCAUAGGCAAGGCUUCAUGUUUAUCAGGGUGAAUCGUCAUUCAGAGUUUACACAAUCACAAGCAAAGCAUAUUUGAAUAAUAAACAAAAUCUUUUCACAUACAUAUAAUGCAUGAAAUGGCAAUAAUGCAAUUUCUAGAGGGUUUCAGCAGCUUAUGAGAUCACUGUGUAGCAGGUAGACUUGAACUACAGAAUUAAUGAAGUUGAAUAAAAAUGGACCAAUACUAUUAGUUACCAUCCAUCUAUCUGUUUUGUCUCUACUUAUCCAGUUCAGGGUAGUGGUGAUGCGGUCCUAUCCCAGCUGCCACAAGGUGAGAAGCAGGAUACAUCCUGGACCUUCACGGUGCUAUGGGCUUUGGACUGUUUGGGUUUUGCUUCUUUGAAUCAUUGGUUGUAUUAUUUAUAUUUGUCCUUUAUCUCCCAGCAUUCUCUGUUCCUUGAUUAAGUACUAUUUAGUUUAUUCCCUUUUGUGUUUCAUUCUGUUCUGGUCUCAUCUCAGUGUUUUUUUCCCUCUUGUGUUUCUUGUGUAAGUUAAUCUUUUCUCCCCAUUCAGUUGUAUCUGUCUUCUGCAGACAUAAUGCCUUUGGAAUUAGGAUAUUUGCAACAGAGCACUGGAAAAUGCCAGGUUUCAUUAUCACCUUUAGAUAGGCAAUUGGGUUUUUAUCCAUGAUGUGGAUUCUGUGAAAACCACAGUUUGUGAUAGAUGUGGCAAUCCAACGAAACAUCAACAUCAGGAAGAAGCAGCAUGAGAAAAUAGAAGCAUCAGCUGGAGCAGAUGUGAAAGGUAAAGUUUAAAGUUGUCCCAGUGUAACUCAAGAGUGUCUCCAACAGAUUCCAGGUACAAGGUCCGAGUGGAGUGGAGUCCUAGGAAUAGCUAGAAUACUACACAGAACCCUCGGACUUCCAGGCCUCUGGUAGAGGACCCAAGCUUCAGGAUCAGACACAUGCUAUCCCACCAGAGGGGUCAUGUCAGUUGCUUACAUGAGACUGUGACAAGUGGAAAAAGUCCAGUGUGUGUGUUGUUUCACACCUUUGAAGACAAGCUGCCCCCUCCUCAUUGAGGAGCAUGCUCAGCCUUGUGUCAGGAGGCUCAGAGCCCCAUGACGCCUGGUCUGUCCUGCACGCUCUGGUCCACACUCUCACUCCCUGACAUGUGCCAGCGAUCGCUAAUCCUCCACUGACGCCUCUCGGAAGCAUCACAUUCAACAACAGAACAAUAAAUGCCCACUGCACUGACCUCAGAGAAUUGUCGCCUCUUGCUACAUCAGCCAGGAUCUCCCAUCUUCUGCUUGUGGAAGACCAUAUUGGUUACAUAGAACCUAAUAUGGCAUAACACAAAAGGCUUCUUUAUGACACAUGUGGCUGCAUGAAAAGUCUUUGUUGUCUUUAGGAUUAAGAGUUGGAGAUUUGAAUGUUUGAAGGGAAUAUGUCUAAAAAGACAGGAUGUUGAUUGAAUUUUAAUUACAACAGAGCCGAUUAGAUAACAAUAUGGUGCAGGAGUUAAAAGCGGGAAACAUGUGCCAGCCAGUGCGUCUGUUUGAAUUAUCGGCUGUAAGCUUUGUUUGGAUGUUGUUUGGAUGACUCAUACAGAGCAGCAUCUGUGUUCUCCAGAGAUAAAUCUGACCAUUAUUGGUCAUAUUGUUUAGAUUAAUGACUAUCCUGUAUGAUGUAAUGACAUGUUGUGUGGGUAUUUUGAGUUCUUAAUACAGCAGAUUAAAAACAAUUGAAGUUA